UGGGAACUUCCCUGGUUACAGUGGAGUGGGGAACUUCCCUGGUUACAGUGGAGUGGAGAACUUCCCUGGUUACAGUGGAGUGGGGAACUUCCCUGGUUACAGUGGAGUGGGGAACUUCCCUGGUCACAGUGGAGAACUUCCCUGGUUACAGAGGAGUGGGGAACUUCCCUGGUUACAGUGGAGUGGGGAACUUCCUGGUUACAGUGGAGUGGGGAACUUCCCUGGUUACAGUGGAGUGGGGAACUUCCCUGGUCACAGUGGGGAACUUCCCUGGUUACAGUGGAGUGGGGAACUUCCCUGGUCACAGUGGAGUUCCCUUGUCUAUGUUAUAUAACAAAUGUCGCGCAACGAUAAAUGAACUGUUUUACAUGCUGAUUCAAAUUUAGGCAAAACCAUUGGGCCGAAAUCUUCUCCUCCUCCAUAUCCCCCCUUUGACGAAUGGCUCCCUCCAUGAGCCAAUCGGCAAAUAGUAGAGAUCAUGGUUGAUGGUAAACAGGGCAUGCCAGACAGAAGAUGUAGCCCUAAGACAGACCUAUUAUUGCUCUCCAAACCCCACACCAUGCUGAGUCUGAGUAGACAGUAAGGGCCUUCCCUUCCCCCAAUUCACAAGCUGUAUUCAGAGCUAAUCAAUCUGCCUGUUGCGCUGAUAAGCAUUUUCAGCUCUGGGUGAGUGGUACUGUGGCUGAUAAGCAUUUUCAGCUCUGGGUGAGUGGUACUGUGGCUGAGGAACAUGUCCAGCUCCAGGUGAGUGGUACGGUGGUUGAGGAGCAUGUCCAGCUCCAGGUGAGUGGUACGGUGGCUGAGGAGCAUGUCCAGCUCCAGGUGAGUGGUACUGUGGCUGAGGAGCAUGUCCAGCUCCAGGUGAGUGGUACGGUGGCUGAGGAGCAUGUCCAGCUCCAGGUGAGUGGUACGGUGGCUGAGGAACAUGUCCAGCUCCAGGUGAGUGGUACGGUGGCUGAGGAGCAUGUCCAGCUCCAGGUGAGUGGUACUGUGGCUGAGGAGCAUAUUAUUACCAUGGCGGGUAGUACACACCAAUAUGUGCAUUAGCAAAGCUUCCUCUUCCUCUGCCCCUAUUGAAACCUCUUCCUCUUUCAUUCACUGUGAACUCACGUGCCCCAACUGCCCACAG
ensembl:lncRNA